GGCGGCAGGCUUAACACAUGCAAGUCGAGCGGGCACUUCGGUGUCAGCGGCGGACGGGUGAGUAACGCGUGGGAACGUGCCUUCUGGUUCGGAAUAACUCAGGGAAACUUGAGCUAWUACCGGAUACGCCCUUAUGGGGAAAGGUUUACUGCCGGAAGAUCGGCCCGCGUCUGAUUAGCUAGUUGGUGGGGUAACGGCCUACCAAGGCGACGAUCAGUAGCUGGUCUGAGAGGAUGAUCAGCCACACUGGGACUGAGACACGGCCCAGACUCCUACGGGAGGCAGCAGUGGGGAAUAUUGGACAAUGGGGGCAACCCUGAUCCAGCCAUGCCGCGUGAGUGAUGAAGGCCUUAGGGUUGUAAAGCUCUUUUAUCCGGGACGAUAAUGACGGUACCGGAGGAAUAAGCCCCGGCUAACUUCGUGCCAGCAGCCGCGGUAAUACGAAGGGGGCUAGCGUUGCUCGGAAUCACUGGGCGUAAAGGGCGCGUAGGCGGUCUUUUAAGUCGGGGGUGAAAGCCUGUGGCUCAACCACAGAAUUGCCUUCGAUACCGGGAGACUUGAGUUCGGAAGAGGUUGGUGGAACUGCGAGUGUAGAGGUGAAAUUCGUAGAUAUUCGCAAGAACACCGGUGGCGAAGGCGGCCAACUGGUCCGACACUGACGCUGAGGCGCGAAAGCGUGGGAGCAAACAGGAUUAGAUACCCUGGUAGUC
rnacentral:rRNA from 1 species